rnacentral:rRNA from 1 species
AACGAACGCUGGCGGCAGGCCUAACACAUGCAAGUCGAGCGGACCCUUCGGGGUUAGCGGCGGACGGGUGAGUAACGCGUGGGAAUAUGCCCUUCUCUACGGAAUAGUCCUGGGAAACUGGGGGUAAUACCGUAUACGCCCUUUGGGAGAAAGAUUUAUCGGGGAAGGAUUAGCCCGCGUUGGAUUAGGUAGUUGGUGGGGUAAUGGCCUACCAAGCCGACGAUCCAUAGCUGGUUUGAGAGGAUGAUCAGCCACACUGGGACUGAGACACGGCCCAGACUCCUACGGGAGGCAGCAGUGGGGAAUCUUAGACAAUGGGGGCAACCCUGAUCUAGCCAUGCCGCGUGAGUGAUGAAGGCCUUAGGGUUGUAAAGCUCUUUCAGCUGGGAAGAUAAUGACGGUACCAGCAGAAGAAGCCCCGGCUAACUCCGUG